rnacentral:rRNA from 1 species
GAUGAACGCUGGCGGCGUGCCUAAUACAUGCAAGUCGAGCGAACGGACGAGAAGCUUGCUUCUCUGAUGUUAGCGGCGGACGGGUGAGUAACACGUGGAUAACCUACCUAUAAGACUGGGAUAACUUCGGGAGACCGUAGCUAAUACCGGAUAAUAUUUUGAACCGCAUGGUUCAAAAGUGAAAGACGGUCUUGCUGUCACUUAUAGAUGGAUCCGCGCUGCAUUAGCUAGUUGGUAAGGUAACGGCUUACCAAGGCAACGAUGCAUAGCCGACCUGAGGGGGUGAUCGGCCACGCUGGAACUGAGACACGGUCCAGACUCCUACGGGAGGCAGCAGUAGGGAAUCUUCCGCAAUGGGCGAAAGCCUGACGGAGCAACGCCGCGUGAGUGAUGAAGGUCUUCGGAUCGUAAAACUCUGUUAUUAGGGAAGAACAUAUGUGUAAGUAACUGUGCACAUCUUGACGGUACCUAAUCAGAAAGCCACGGCUAACUACGUG